CCCACAGCUCUUUAGCAGACUCACAGUAGCUGUAUGCAUCCAGAAUAGCCGGCUCAAGGGACGCAUGGAGCACUGACAUCACCAACAUGUCCUCUUGAUGCCACUUCUCUUCUGCCUUGCUUGCCGCUUCAUCUUCAGCCUCUCCUUGGGUGAUGAGCUUUGGAGCUUCUCCUGGUGUGAUGUGCUUCCAAAGCCCCUUGCUUCCCACUGUGGUUCUCA
rnacentral:lncRNA from 1 species